AUCCUACGGGGGGCAGCAGUGGGGAAUAUUGGGCAAUGGGCGCAAGCCUGACCCAGCAACGCCGCGUGAAGGAAGAAGGCUUUCGGGUUGUAAACUUCUUUUAUGAGGGACGAAACAAAUGACGGUACCUCAUGAAUAAGCCACGGCUAACUACGUGCCAGCAGCCGCGGUAAUACGUAGGUGGCAAGCGUUAUCCGGAUUUACUGGGUGUAAAGGGCGUGUAGGCGGGACUGCAAGUGAGAUGUGAAAAUUAUGGGCUCAACCCAUAACCCGCAUUUGAAACCGCAGUACUUGAGUGAUGGAGG
rnacentral:rRNA from 1 species